rnacentral:rRNA from 1 species
CCUACGGGAGGCAGCAGUGAGGAAUAUUGGUCAAUGGACGAGAGUCUGAACCAGCCAAGUAGCGUGAAGGAUGACUGCCCUAUGGGUUGUAAACUUCUUUUAUAAAGGAAUAAAACGAGGCACGUGUGCCUUUUUGCAUGUACUUUAUGAAUAAGGAUCGGCUAAUUCCGUGCCAGCAGCCGCGGUAAUACGGAGGAUCCGAGCGUUAUCCGGAUUUAUUGGGUUUAAAGGGAGCGUAGAUGGGUUGUUAAGUCAGUUGUGAAAGUUUGCGGCUCAACCGUAAAAUUGCAAUUGAUACUGGCAGUCGUGAGUACAGUUGAGGUAGGCGGAAUUCGUGGUGUAGCGGUGAAAUGCGUAGAUAUCACGAAGAACCCCGAUUGCGAAGGCAGCUUACUAAACUGUGACUGACAUUGAUGCUCGAAAGUGUGGGUAUCAAACAGGAUUAGAUACCCCGGUAGUC